CCGCUGCUGCCGGCGCCUCUGAGGGCGUCGCUCGCCCGGGCCUGGACGCGCUGCCGGCGGGCGCAGCUGGUCCUCGCCGGAGAACGGCUUGAGGCUGCCGCGGCGUGGGGGCCUGGCUCUGUAGCGGGGCGGUUAAUGAAAGGGGGGUUGGCCUGCCAGAAGAGAAACGUUGUGGAGGACGAGCCCCCGCCCUCCCCCCGUGAAAGUAGGACCGGUGUCUCCCGAAAGCGCGAGGAAUUUAUCUCGUAGUUAAGAUCCACUUUUUGACCCCGGUUUUUCAAGCCACGUGGCUUGUUUUAGGCAGUCAGCUGGGCUUUGGAUUUGAGCUUGUAUCCCCUCUCCUUCCAGCACCCUAGGGUUAACGACGCCCUACGAAUGGCGUGCACAGCCCGAGGCACUGGGCACCAGGCAGGACUGUGGCGGAGGAUGACGCUCUCGCCCUCUCCCCUUGGGUGCGGUGCCAGGGCCGCUGCUGUGCCAGCAGGCCUCCCGUAGAGGUCCGUUUGGAUAGCAGACUGCUGGCCCAAGUCUCGCUGCUUGCAGCUCUUGUGCUGGUUUUGCCCCACCCCAGAAACAGAACAUGCCCUGGGGUGUUGGCCUUCCCCCCUCCCACCCCUCUGCAGAGUUGCUGAGGUCCUGCCUCCGGUUGGGCCUUACCCCUAGUGCAACACUUCUCCACUGGGGGCUGUACCCAGGUUGCAGGGGGUCCGCCCAGCCCAGCCUAGGGAGGAGCUGCCUUGGGCCCUGGGGCUGAGGGAGAGGCCCAAGGAAGGCAGGGGCAGGGCCGCCCCGCCCCGCCCCGCCCAGCCCAGCCCCACAGCCUCUCUCCUGCCAGCAGUGCUGCAGGCGGGUGGGUGAGGCUCCGUGCUGCUGCAGCCAAGUGAAUGGGGCCCCAAGGCUCCCCACCACUCAGCCCUGCCUCUUUGCACCCUGGGGCCAUGCGGGCAGGGCUGGGGAGCCAGGCAGUUAUUGUGGGACAGAUUCCAUUUCCUCCUUCCAAAAGCCGGGAAACAUCCUCGCUUGUCACCCACAGAAGAUGUGCUUCUUAUCAAGCUAGGACAAAAGAUGAGCUCAGAUUGCUCCAGAAGAUUAAGCUUACUCUUCUUGACUCACUUAAAGCAAGCCAGGACAAGUUAGAUACAGCCUUCAUGCAGUUGUCCUUGCAAACAGUAGCAGUCCGUGGUAUCUUAUGGAUCUGUGACACCAUCUUAUACGUCUGCUGAAAUCUAAUGCAUUUCUUUUUGUUUUUUCAAGAUGUCUACAGUCCAUGAAAUUCUAACCAAACUCAGCCUUGAAGGAGAU
ensembl:lncRNA